rnacentral:tRNA from 1 species
GCCUGGAUAGCUCAGUUAGUUAGAGUGUGGUGCUGAUAAUGCCAAGGUUGCAGGUUUGAUUCCCAUAUGGGACA